rnacentral:rRNA from 1 species
CUACGGGCCGCUGCAGUGGGGAAUAUUGCACAAUGGGGGAAACCCUGAUGCAGCAACGCCGCGUGGAGGAUGACACAUUUCGGUGCGUAAACUCCUUUUAUAUAGGAAGAUAAUGACGGUACUAUAUGAAUAAGCGCCGGCUAACUCCGUGCCAGCAGCCGCGGUAAUACGGAGGGCGCAAGCGUUACUCGGAAUCACUGGGCGUAAAGAGCGUGUAGGCGGGUAGUUAAGUCAGAAGUGAAAUCCUAUGGCUCAACCAUAGAACUGCUUUUGAAACUGAUUACCUAGAAUAUGGGAGAGGUAGAUGGAAUUUCUGGUGUAGGGGUAAAAUCCGUAGAGAUCAGAAGGAAUACCGAUUGCGAAGGCGAUCUACUGGAACAUUAUUGACGCUGAGACGCGAAAGCGUGGGGAGCAAACAGGAUUAGAUACCCCCGUAGUC